rnacentral:rRNA from 1 species
GUGAACGCUGGCGGUAGGCCUAACCCCUGCAAGUCGCACGGCAGCACAGUAAGAGCUUGCUCUUACGGGUGGCGAGUGGCGGACGGGUGAGGAAUACAUCGGAAUCUACUUUUUCGUGGGGGAUAACGUAGGGAAACUUACGCUAAUACCGCAUACGACCUACGGGUGAAAGCAGGGGAUCUUCGGACCUUGCGCGAUUGAAUGAGCCGAUGUCGGAUUAGCUAGUUGGCGGGGUAAAGGCCCACCAAGGCGACGAUCCGUAGCUGGUCUUAGAGGAUGAUCAGCCACACUGGAACUGAGACACGGUCCAGACUCCUACGGGAGGCAGCAGUGGGGAAUAUUGGACAAUGGGCGCAAGCCUGAUCCAGCCAUACCGCGUGGGUGAAGAAGGUCUUCGGGUUGUAAAGCCCUUUUGUUGGGAAAGAAAAGCAGCAGGUUAAUACCCCGCUGUUCUGACGGUACCCAAAGAAUAAGCACCGGCUAACUUCGUG